UCAGGACGAACGCUGGCGGCGUGCUUAACACAUGCAAGUCGAACGAGAAUCUGCGGAACGAGGAUUCGUCCAAGUGAAGCAGAGGACAGUGGCGGACGGGUGAGUAACGCGUGAGGAACCUGCCUUUCAGAGGGGGACAACAGUUGGAAACGACUGCUAAUACCGCAUGACACAUAGAUGUCGCAUGGCAUUUAUGUCAAAGAUUUAUCGCUGAAAGAUGGCCUCGCGUCUGAUUAGCUAGUUGGUGAGGUAACGGCCCACCAAGGCGACGAUCAGUAGCCGGACUGAGAGGUUGAACGGCCACAUUGGGACUGAGAUACGGCCCAGACUCCUACGGGAGGCAGCAGUGGGGAAUAUUGGGCAAUGGGCGCAAGCCUGACCCAGCAACGCCGCGUGAAGGAAGAAGGCUUUCGGGUUGUAAACUUCUUUUAAGUGGGAAGAGUAGAAGACGGUACCACUUGAAUAAGCCACGGCUAACUACGUG
rnacentral:rRNA from 1 species